GACGAACGCUGGCGGCGUGCUUAACACAUGCAAGUCGAACGGAAAGGCCCUGCUUUUGUGGGGUGCUCGAGUGGCGAACGGGUGAGUAACACGUGAGUAACCUGCCCUUGACUUUGGGAUAACUUCAGGAAACUGGGGCUAAUACCGGAUAGGAGCUCCUGCUGCAUGGUGGGGGUUGGAAGUUUCGGCGGUUGGGGAUGGACUCGCGGCUUAUCAGCUUGGUGGUGGGGUAGUGGCUUACCAAGGCUUUGACGGGUAGCCGGCCUGAGAGGGUGACCGGCCACAUUGGGACUGAGAUACGGCCCAGACUCCUACGGGAGGCAGCAGUGGGGAAUAUUGCACAAUGGGCGGAAGCCUGAUGCAGCAACGCCGCGUGCGGGAUGACGGCCUUCGGGUUGUAAACCGCUUUCGCCUGUGACGAAGCGUGAGUGACGGUAAUGGGUAAAGAAGCACCGGCUAACUACGUG
rnacentral:rRNA from 1 species